rnacentral:rRNA from 1 species
GAUGAACGCUGGCGGCGUGCCUAAUACAUGCAAGUCGAGCGAACGGACGAGAAGCUUGCUUCUCUGCUGUUAGCGGCGGACGGGUGAGUAACACGUGGAUAACCUACCUAUAAGACUGGGAUAACUUCGGGAAACCGGAGCUAAUACCGGAUGAUAUUUUGAACCGCAUGGUUCAAAAGUGAAAGACGGUCUUGCUGUCACUUAUAGAUGGAUCCGCGCUGCAUUAGCUAGUUGGUAAGGUAACGGCUUACCAAGGCAACGAUGCAUAGCCGACCUGAGAGGGUGAUCGGCCACACUGGAACUGAGACACGGUCCAGACUCCUACGGGAGGCAGCAGUAGGGAAUCUUCCGCAAUGGGCGAAAGCCUGACGGAGCAACGCCGCGUGGGUGAUGAAGGUCUUCGGAUCGUAAAACUCUGUUAUUAGGGAAGAACAUAUGUGUAAGUAACUGUGCACAUCUUGACGGUACCUAAUCAGAAAGCCACGGCUAACUACGUG